rnacentral:rRNA from 1 species
AGUCGAACGAUGAAGCCCAGCUUGCUGGGUGGAUUAGUGGCGAACGGGUGAGUAACACGUGAGUAACCUGCCCCUGACUCUGGGAUAAGCCCGGGAAACUGGGUCUAAUACCGGAUAUGACUUUUGACCGCAUGGUUGAGGGUGGAAAGAUUUAUCGGUUGGGGAUGGACUCGCGGCCUAUCAGCUUGUUGGUGAGGUAAUGGCUCACCAAGGCGACGACGGGUAGCCGGCCUGAGAGGGUGACCGGCCACACUGGGACUGAGACACGGCCCAGACUCCUACGGGAGGCAGCAGUGGGGAAUAUUGCACAAUGGGCGCAAGCCUGAUGCAGCGACGCCGCGUGAGGGAUGACGGCCUUCGGGUUGUAAACCUCUUUCAGUAGGGAAGAAGCGAAAGUGACGGUACCUGCAGAAGAAGCGCCGGCUAACUACGUGCCAGCAGCCGCGGUAAUACGUAGGGCGCAAGCGUUAUCCGGAUUUAUUGGGCGUAAAGAGCUCGUAGGCGGUUUGUCGCGUCUAUCGUGAAAGUCCGAGGCUCAACCUCGGAUCUGCGGUGGGUACGGGCAGACUAGAGUGAUGUAGGGGAGACUGGAAUUCCUGGUGUAGCGGUGAAAUGCGCAGAUAUCAGGAGGAACACCGAUGGCGAAGGCAGGUCUCUGGGCAUUUACUGACGCUGAGGAGCGAAAGCAUGGGGAGCGAACAGGAUUAGAUACCCUGGUAGUCCAUGCC